rnacentral:tmRNA from 2 species
GGGGACGCAAUGGUUUCGACGGGAAUGCAGAACAUUUGGGAGCGGGUAGUGGUGCGGAGCCACUUAAAAAUCCGCAAAUUAAAUAUAAUCGACAAUAACGAUUUAGCUUUUGCUGCCUAAUUAGGCGGCUGUCCUGCCUGCGGUAACCGCGCCAAGGGGUCAGGGCAUCAUGAAUGCGGUGAACGUGAGCAGCUUAAGCUUUGCGGCUGCCAUGACCAAUGAAGCUACUAAACCUUAAGGUUUGUUUGUGAACCUUAAGGCGAGGGAAUGUAAAUCACAAACUGCACCCGGAGCGCCCGAAUCGGAAGUAUUUUCGGACAGGAGUUCGACUCUCCUCGUCUCCACCA